GCCUCUACCCCGCCCCCGGCGCCGGCACGCGGACCCGAACUAGGCGACAAGGUCGGUCCUCCCCCGCCGGGCCUUCCGCGCGCUCCCCGGCGCCCCCAGCCUGCUGACCCCCGGCCAGGCAGGCCCGCGGGGGAGGCAGGACCGGAGCCCUGAGGCCCUGGCCGGCCUCGGGGUUGAGGCUCAGCUCGGGAUAAGUGAUCUUUGGGGCCCGCAGAGGACGUCUCCCCAAGACCCAGUGGCAACCGGGGCACCACUGAGUUCAGUACUUCAAAACUGCCGUGCUCUACCUCUCCCCAGUGCACAGAAACACUCUCCACACCAAGCUGCUGCUGCUGAGGGAUGGAGGGAUGGCGUCAGCGAUUCAAAACUGUUUUUCCUACCUGUUCAGCACUUCUUUCAGCGAUAUGAAGUUAAAUCCAGAGUCACACAGGCUAGAGUGCAGUGGCAUGAUCUCAGCUCCCCACAACCUCUGCCUCCGAUGUUCAAGCGAUUCUCCUGUCUCAGCCUCCUGAGUAGCUGGAAUUACAGGUGCCCACCACCACGCGCGGCUAAUAUUUGUGUUUUUAGUAGAAAUGGGGUUUCACCAUGUUGGCCAGGCCAGCCUCGAACUCCUGACCUCGGGUGAUCAGCCCGCCUUGGCCUCCCAAAGUGCUGGCAUUACAGGCAUGAUCAUGGCUCAUUUCUUUUUAGCACUGAAUGAUAUUCCAUUGUCAGGAUGUACCACAGUUUGUUUAUCCAUUCACCUACUGAAGGACAUUUUGGUUGCUUCUAAGUUUUACCAGUUAUGAAUGAAGCUGCUAUAAACAUCUGUGUACAGAUUUUUUUGUGGACAUAAGUUUUCAACUCCUUUGGGUAAAUACCAAAGAGUGGACUUGCUGGAUUUUACAAUAAGAAUAUGUUUAAUUUGUAAGAAACCACCUAACUGUCUUCCACAGUGACUGUUCUAUUUUUGCCUCCCCACCAGCAAUGAAUGAGAGCUCUCAUUACUCCCUGCUUUCACCAGCAUUUUGUGGUGUCUGUGUUUUGGAUUUGGUCAUUCUAAUAGGUGUGUAAUGAUAUGUCAUUAUUGUUUUAAUUUGCAACUUCCUCAUGACAUCUGAUGCUAAGCAUCUUUCAAUAUGCUUAUUUGCCAUCUGUGUAUCUUCUUUGCUGAGGUGUCUAGAUCUUUUGCCUAUUUUUUAAUCGGGUUGUUUUCUUAUUGUUGUGUUUUUUUGGAAUUCUUUGUAUAUUUUGGAUAGUGGUCCUUUAUCAGAUAUGUCUUUUGCAAAUAUUUUCUCCCAGUCUGUGUCUUGUCUUCUCGUUCUCUUGACAGUGUCUUUUGCAGAGCAGUUUUUUUUUUUUCCUUUCUGGAGAUGGGGGUCUCCCUAUAUCUCCCAGGCUGGUCUCAAACUUCUGGGCUCAAGGGAGCCUCCUACCUCUCUGGAGUAACUGGGACAAUGGAUGUGUCCUACUUCCAGCUUAGAAGUUUUUAAAUAUAUAUAUUUUUUGAGAUGGAGUCUCGCUCUGUCACCCAGGCUGGAGUACAGUGGUGUGAUCUCGGCUCACUGCAACCUGUGCCUCCUGGGUUCAAAUGAUUCUUGUGCCUCAGCCUCCUGAAUAAGUGGGAUUACAGGCAUGCACAACUAUGCCCGGCUAAUUUUUGUAUUUUUAGUAGAGAUGAGGUUUCACCAGGCUGGUCUCGAACUCCUGACCUCAAGGGAUCCACCCACCUACGCCUCCCAAAGUGCUGGGAUUACAGGCAUCAGCCACUGUGCCCAGCCUAGAAGUUUUCAGUGUUAAUGUACCCCUGAUUAUUAAUUAUUUCUUUCAUGGGUUGUGCCUUUGGUGUUAUAUCUAUAAAGUCAUCACCAAAUUCAAGGUCACCUAAAUUUUCUCCUAUGUUAUCUUCUAGGAGUUUUAUAGUUUCUGUGAUCCAUUUUGAGUUAAUUUUCGUGAAGGCUAUUUUUGUGAAUGUGUCUAGAUUUUUUUUUUUUUGGCAUGGGAGUGUCCAGUUGUUCUACAACUAUUUGUUGAAAAGGCUAAAUUGUCUCCAUUAUAUUGCCUUUCCUCCUUUAUCAACAAUCAGUUAACUACAUUUAUGUGGGUCUAUGUCCUGCUCACUAUUCUAUCCUGUUGAUCUAGUUACCUCUUCUUUUACCAAUACCACACUGUCUUAAUUACUGUAGGUUUAUAGUAAGUUUCGAGGUAAGAUUGUGUCAGUUCUCUGAUUUUGUUUUUCUCCUUCAAUAUCAUGUUGGCUAUUCUGGGUCUUUUGCCUCUCCAUAUAAACUUUAGAAUCAGUUUGUCAAUCUCCACAAAAUAACUUACUUGGAUUUUAACUGGGUUGCAGUGAACUAUAGAUCAAGUUGGGAAGAAUGGACCACUUGAAAAUAUUGAGUUUUCCUAUUCAUGAACAUGGAAUAUAUCUCCAUUUAUUUAGCUUUCUGAUUUCUUUCAUCAGAGUUUUAUAAUUCUCAUCAUACAUAUCAUAUAUAGAGAAAGAUUUAUAUCUAAGUAGUUCAUUUUUUUGAGUGCUAAUGUAAAUGAUAUUGUAUUUUUAAUUUCAAAUUCUGCUUGUUGCUGGUACUAAAGUAAAAUUUAAGCACAUCAAAAACAAAGACAGAAAGCUUUCAAAAAAAAAAAUCACCUACAAAUAAGGAGAAUUAAACGGACACUGAAAUAAUAAUCAAGCAAUAUCUAGAAACUGUUGGGGAAAAAGAAUUUGAACCUAGAAUUUUAUAUACUGCUGAUAGCAGUGGUGGACUGUCUGGAGCAGCUGCUGCCAUCAUGUUGGCUGCUGCAGGGAGGGUGCAGGGAGGAGGCAGAUAGCCCCCUCACAGCCCACCACCCUGAGAAGAGGGAGGCCCUGAGGCAGA